GUGUCAGCCGCCGCGGUAAUACGUAGGGUGCGAGCGUUAUCCGGAAUUAUUGGGCGUAAAGAGCUCGUAGGCGGUUUGUCGCGUCUGCCGUGAAAGUCCGGGGCUUAACUCCGGAUCUGCGGUGGGUACGGGCAGACUAGAGUGAUGUAGGGGAGACUGGAAUUCCUGGUGUAGCGGUGAAAUGCGCAGAUAUCAGGAGGAACACCGAUGGCGAAGGCAGGUCUCUGGGCAUUAACUGACGCUGAGGAGCGAAAGCAUGGGGAGCGAACAGGAUUAGAUACCCCAGUAGUCC
rnacentral:rRNA from 1 species